GGAGGAAUAUUGGACAAUGGGGGAAACCCCGAUCCAGCAACGCCGCGUGAGGGAUGAAGGCCUUCGGGUUGUAAACCUCUUUUCAGGGAGACGAGCAAGGACGGUAUCCCUGGAAUAAGUCACGGCUAACUACGUGCCAGCAGCCGCGGUAAUACGUAGGUGGCGAGCGUUAUCCGGAUUUACUGGGCGUAAAGCGCUUGUAGGUGGCUUCGUAAGUUGGGCGUGAA
rnacentral:rRNA from 1 species